GGUGAACGCUAGCUACAGGCUUAACACAUGCAAGUCGAGGGGCAGCACAGUGUAGCAAUACACGGGUGGCGACCGGCGCACGGGUGCGUAACGCGUAUCCAAUCUUCCCGUUACUCUUGGAUAGCCUUCCGAAAGGGAGAUUAAUACAAGAUGGUAUUCAAAUUCCGCAUGUUAUUUGAAUUAAAGAUUUAUCGGUAACGGAUGGGGAUGCGUGACAUUAGGUAGAUGGCGGGGUAACGGCCCACCAUGCCUACGAUGUCUAGGGGUUCUGAUAGGAAGGUCCCCCACACUGGAACUGAGACACGGUCCAGACUCCUACGGGAGGCAGCAGUGAGGAAUAUUGGUCAAUGGCCGGAAGGCUGAACCAGCCAAGUAGCGUGAAGGAUGAAGGUUCUAUGGAUUGUAACUGCUUUUAUAUAGGAAUAAAGCCCACUACGUGUAGUGGUUUGUAUGUACUAUAUGAAUAAGCAUCGGCUAACUCCGUGCCAGCCGCCGCGGUAACAC
rnacentral:rRNA from 1 species